GGGGCUGUAGCUCAGCCCGGUUAGAGCGCCUGCCUGUCACGCAGGAGGUCGCGGGUUCAAGUCCCGUCAGCCCCG
rnacentral:tRNA from 1 species